AACGCUAGCGGCAGGCUUAACACAUGGCAAGUCGAGGGGCAGCGCGUCGUAGCAAUACGAUGGCGGCGACCGGCGCAAGGGUGCGUAACGCGUGAGCAAUCUGCCCGUAUCAGGGGGAUAAGCGAUGGAAACGUCGUCUAAUACCGCAUAACAGCCGGGGAGGCAUCUUCCUGGUUUGAAAGCUUCGGUGGAUACGGAUGAGCUCGCGAGACAUUAGUUAGUUGGCGGGUAACGGCCCACCAAGACCGCGAUGUCUAGGGGAACUGAGAGGUUGGUCCCCCACACUGGAACUGAGACACGGUCCAGACUCCUACGGGAGGCAGCAGUGAGGAAUAUUGGACAAUGGUCGGAAGACUGAUCCAGCCAUGCCGCGUGAAGGAUAAGGUCCUAUGGAUUGUAAACUUCUUUUGAGUGGGAGCAAUAAGGGUAUCGUGAUACCCGAUGAGAGUACCAUUCGAAUAAGCAUCGGCUAACUCCGUGCC
rnacentral:rRNA from 1 species